rnacentral:rRNA from 1 species
GACGAACGCUGGCGGCGUGCUUAACACAUGCAAGUCGAACGGAAAGGCCCUGCUUUUGUUGGGUGCUCGAGUGGCGAACGGGUGAGUAACACGUGAGUAACCUGCCCUUGACUUUGGGAUCACUUCAGGAAACUGGGGCUAAUACCGGAUAGGAGCUCCUGCUGCAUGGUGUGGGUUGGAAAGUUUCGGCGGUUGGGGAUGGACUCGCGGCUUAUCAGCUUGUUGGUGGGGUAGUGGCUUACCAAGGCUUUGACGGGUAGCCGGCCUGAGAGGGUGACCGGCCACAUUGGGACUGAGAUACGGCCCAGACGCCUACGGGAGGCAGCAGUGGGGAAUAUUGCACAAUGGGCGGAAGCCUGAUGCAGCAACGCCGCGUGCGGGAUGACGGCCUUCGGGUUGUAAACCGCUUUCGCCUGUGACGAAGCGUGAGUGACGGUAAUGGGUAAAGAAGCACCGGCUAACUACGUG